rnacentral:rRNA from 1 species
UACGAGGGGGGCAAGCGUUGUUCGGAAUUAUUGGGCGUAAAGGGUGCGUAGGCGGUUUGACAAGUCUGAUGUGAAAUCUAUGGGCUCAACCCAUAGUCUGCAUCGGAAACUGUCGGGCUUGAGUAUGGGAGAGGUGAGUGGAAUUUCCGGUGUAGCGGUGAAAUGCGCAGAUAUCAGGAGGAACACCAAUUGCGAAGGCAGCUCGCUGGGACGUUACUGACGCUGAGACGCGAAAGCGUGGGGAGCGAACAGG